rnacentral:sRNA from 1 species
UUUUAGCCCCGGGUGAAGCGGCAUCCUUUUUUGCUUAAAAUAAAUUUUCUUUUUAAAAACAAAUCUUUCAAAGCAAAAAAGAUAGAGCGGAAAACGGCUACAAUU